AAUGACACCAAAGCGAAACCGC
rnacentral:miRNA from 1 species